UCCCAGGUGGCUCAGAAGGUAAAGAAACUGCCUGCAAUGCAGGAGACCCGGGUUUGAUUCCUGGUUCAGGAA
rnacentral:tRNA from 1 species